UACAGAGGUGGCAAGCGUUGUUCGGAAUUACUGGGCGUAAAGCGCGUGUAGGCGGCCCGGAAAGUCGGAUGUGAAAGCCCUGGGCUUAACCUAGGAAGUGCAUUCGAAACUGCUGGGCUUGAGUUCUGGAGAGGAAGGCGGAAUUCUCGGUGUAGAGGUGAAAUUCGUAGAUAUCGAGAGGAACACCGGUGGCGAAGGCGGCCUUCUGGACAGUGACUGACGCUGAGACGCGAAGGCAUGGGGAGCGAACGGG
rnacentral:rRNA from 1 species